rnacentral:rRNA from 1 species
GACGAACGCUGGCGGCGUGCUUAACACAUGCAAGUCGAACGGAAAGGCCCUGCUUUUGUGGGGUGCUCGAGUGGCGAACGGGUGAGUAACACGUGAGUAACCUGCCCUUGACUUUGGGAUAACUUCAGGAAACUGGGGCUAAUACCGGAUAGGAGCUCCUGCUGCAUGGUGGGGGUUGGAAAGUUUCGGCGGUUGGGGAUGGACUCGCGGCUUAUCAGCUUGUUGGUGGGGUAGUGGCUUACCAAGGCUUUGACGGGUAGCCGGCCUGAGAGGGUGACCGGCCACAUUGGGACUGAGAGACGGCCCAGACUCAUACGGGAGGAAGCAGGGGGGAAUAUUGAACAAUGGGCGGAAGAAUGAUGGAGCAACGCCGCGUGCGGGAUGAAGGCCUUAGGGUUGGAAACCGCUUUCGCCUGUGACGAAGCGUGAGUGACGGUAAUGGGGAAAGAAGCAACGGCUAACUACGUG